AUUUAAAUAGCUUAUAUAGAGCGUGAUAUUGAAGCUGUCAAUGAAAGUUAAACUUUUUAAAUA
rnacentral:tRNA from 1 species